GGUGGUCUGCAAAUAAAAAAAAUAUAUUUGAUGAUAAAAAAAGGAAAGAAAAAAAUAAAUAUCUACACGAAAACUGCACAGUGAAAGGUCAACACACACACACAUGCACAUGCAUGGGCAUAGGGCAACUUCAGUCCGCCGUUAAUGAUUCCUGCGCUGAUUUGGCAUGCCAUGAAAAGAAAAUCAUUGGCAUCUCGCCGGCUACGUUGUUUCAUUUCAAUUCAAUUCGCUUUGCGAUUAUUGUCAGCCACUUUGAAUUAUCGUACAGGAAAUCAGCACAAAAAAGAUCAGAAAGGCAGCUCGAAAAAUCGGAUCAAAUUGGAAAAUACUAAAAAAUGUACGAGGGUGUGGCAAAUUGCAAUUGUAAAGAUGUCAAGUGGAGAGUUUUAUAUACCUGGGUGUAAAUCUUAGCAGCGCUGCAAACCCCCUAAUCGGCGUCAAUAAUAGUCUAGAAAGCGCUAAUAGAAGUUAUUUUACCCACGUGAAAUUUCUCAAAAAUAAAUUAUGUACUAUCGAGACCGUGUAAGUUACAAAACUACACGAGGCUAAUAAGACCAGUAGCAACAUAUGGCUGCGAAGAAGGGGUACUGAUAUAUAAGAUAGCUUAAAAUUCUAAGCAUCCUAAGAAGGAUAUUUAGACCCAUAAGGGAAGCUAAUACAUCUUACAGAUUCUGAUACAAUGAUGAGAUCAAACAACUGAUAUCACCAACGGCUGAGAUGGUUUAGAUUACAUCAGACUACAGGCUGGACUAUAGCAGAAUUACGAAAAAGGCCUUCAACUCUCGUAUGUUAUUAUGGACAGCAAAACGCGUGGAAGACCGCCAAGAAGAUGGGCAGACGAUGUUGAUGCAGAUUUACGCCUUAUAAAUGCUAGGAGAAGCGAUACAAUGAACCGAGUCGUGUAUGGAGCGCGAUUGUGAAGGAAGCACUGGCUCAUCCCGAGCUGUAGUUACUAUGAUGAUCAUGAUGAAGAUGAGGAUAGUUCACCCUACUA